UACGUAGGGUGCAAGCGUUAAUCGGAAUCACUGGGCUUAAAGCGUGUGUAGGCGGAUCGUUAAGUGUCUUGUGAAAUCCCACGGCUCACCCCGUGGAACGGCUGGGCAUACUGGCGAUCUUGGGCCAACUAGGGGCAACUGGAACAAGCGGUGGAGCGGUGAAAUGCGUAGAUAUCGCUUGGAACGCCGGAAGGUGAAAAACAGGUUGCUGGGGGUUGUGCCGG
rnacentral:rRNA from 1 species